rnacentral:rRNA from 1 species
UACGUAGGUGGCAAGCGUUGUCCGGAAUUAUUGGGCGUAAAGCGCGCGCAGGUGGUUCUUUAAGUCUGAUGUGAAAGCCCCCGGCUCAACCGGGGAGGGUCAUUGGAAACUGGGGAACUUGAGUAUAGAAGAGGAAAGUGGAAUUCCACGUGUAGCGGUGAAAUGCGUAGAGAUGUGGAGGAACACCAGUGGCGAAGGCGACUUUCUGGUCUAUAACUGACACUGAGGCGCGAAAGCGUGGGGAGCAAACAGG